rnacentral:misc_RNA from 1 species
AAGGAUCUGAAACUCCACCGCAGUGAAUCAGAAAUGUUAAAUCGAAAAUGAGAAAUACUGAAAGUAACUUCAAAUUGGAGAAGAAAAACAGUUGAGAGAGGAAUCAAGGGGAGAGAAUCAGAGAAAUUGAAGAGGGGGAAAGGGGGAUUUUCCUAUAAAGAGGAAAAUGGGGUUUUGGGGAUGGGACGGGCAGCGGGCUGGAUGGGGAUGGCUCG